rnacentral:rRNA from 1 species
AUUGAACGCUGGCGGCAGGCCUAACACAUGCAAGUCGAGCGGAUGAAGGGAGCUUGCUCCUGGAUUCAGCGGCGGACGGGUGAGUAAUGCCUAGGAAUCUGCCUGGUAGUGGGGGAUAACGUCCGGAAACGGGCGCUAAUACCGCAUACGUCCUGAGGGAGAAAGUGGGGGAUCUUCGGACCUCACGCUAUCAGAUGUGCCUAGGUCGGAUUAGCUAGUUGGUGGGGUAAAGGCCUACCAAGGCGACGAUCCGUAACUGGUCUGAGAGGAUGAUCAGUCACACUGGAACGGAGAACCGGUCCAGACCCCUACGGGAGGCAGCAGGGGGGAAUAUUGGAAAAGGGGAGAAAGCCUGACCCACCCAUGCGGCGUGGGGGAAGAAGGUCUUCGUAUUGUAAAGCACUUUAAGUGGGGGGGAGGGGAAGUAAGUUAAUACCUUGUUGUUUGGACGUUACAAAAAGAAUAAGCACCGGCUACCUUCGU